AGUGGGUUUUGGGAAGCAGCGGGUACGCGGCGCUCUCUUCUCCUGGCCCGCAGCCGGGAGCCAAGGCCCGGGGGUGGGCGGGGAAAGGGGAGAAACGAACAAGAUAGGAUGACCGCGCAGCCGACGUAGCCGCGAGGGGGCCGGAGCCACCUCAGGCCCUGGCCUGAAACCCUCUGAGGCGGGUGGCCGGCAGAAGGGCCCCCUCCAAGGGGUCCCCAACCCCUGGGCUGUGGACCAGUACCAAUCCAUGGCCUGUUAGGAACCAGGCCACACAGCAGGAGGCGAGCGGCAGGCAAGCGAGCAUCACCACCUGAGCUCUGCUUCCUGCCAGGUCAGCAGCGCAUUCGAUUCUCAUGGGAGGGUGAACCCUACUGUGAACUGCACAUGCGAAGAAUCUAAGUUGUGCGUUCCUUAUGAGAAUCUAACUAAUGAUGACUUGAGGUGGAAGUUUCAUCCCGAAACAUUCCCCCAUCCAGAGACAUUGCACUCCACAUAGACUCGCUCUGUACCUAGUCUGGAAUGCAGUGGUGUGAUCACGGCUCAGUGCAGCCUCAAACUCCUGGGCUCAAGCAAUCCUACUGCCUCAGCCUCCUGAGUAGCUGGAACCACAGGCAUAUGCCACCAUGCCCAGGUAAUUUUUUUUUUUUUUAAGAGAUAGGGUCUCCCUAUAUAUUCCCUGGGCUGGUUGGUCUCCAACUCCUGACCUUCAACAGUUCUCUUGCCUUGGCCUCCCAAAGUGCUGAGAUUACAGAUGUGAGCCACCAUGCCCAGCUCUGUUUACAUUUUUAAAAACCAUGUCGCCACACAAGCGAGCAUUUUUUAUUCAGUUAAAUCAGAUUGUUUAAAAACCUUAACUGUGAGGCUGGGCACAGUGGCUCACACCUGUAAUCCUAGCACUUUGGGAGGCCGAGGUGGGCGGAUCACCUGAGGUCAGGAGUUCGAGACCAGCCUGAUCAAUAUGGUGAAACCUCGUCUCUACUAAAAAUACAAAAAUUAGCCGGGCAUGAUGGCACGCACCUGUAAUCUCAGUUACUCAGGCUGAGACAGGAGAAUUGCUUGAACCCCGGCGGCGGAAGUUGCAGUGAGUCGAGAUCUCACCAUUGCACUCCAGCAUGGAUGACAGAGCGAAACUCCAUCUCAAAAAUAAAAAAACAAAAACCUUAACUGUGGCAUACAUACUGAGAUGUAAAAAAAGAUUCUAGAGCCACCCACAGUCCUUGGCUGAAGGCCUCCUUCCCUCAUCUGCAAAGCCAGCAAUGCUGCAUCCGUGCCUUCUUCUGUAGUCACAUCUUCCUCUGGCUCUCUUCUGCCUCCCUCUUCCACUUUAAAGGUUCUUUCUAAUUAUAUUGGACCCAUGCAGAUAAUCCAAGAUGAUCUCCCUAUUUUAAGGUCACCUGAUUAGCCAUCUUAAUUUCCCCUUGCUAUGUAACCUAACACAUUCACAGGUUCUGGGCAUUAGGAUGUGAUGUCUUGCAGGGUGGGUACUAUUCUGCCUAGCAAACACGUGAAUGCAGUGUUCCGAGGUGUUUCUCAGGACUUACAAGAGUCACUUUAAUACUAAAGAUAAUAUACAUUCUCUAAGGAAGAGGAGUUUGCAGACUAUCCAGUGUUUUCAAUAUAUCUAGAUGUUUCAACCUGAGGAAGCUGAUUACUAUAUAUAUAUAUAUGGAGAGAAAGAGAAUAUAUAUACACUCCAUAGAGUAUAUAUACACUAUAUAUAUAUACUGUACUCUCUAGA
rnacentral:lncRNA from 1 species